UACGAAGGGGGCUAGCGUUGCUCGGAAUCACUGGGCGUAAAGCGCACGUAGGCGGAUUUCUAAGUCAGGGGUGAAAUCCUGGAGCUCAACUCCAGAACUGCCUUUGAUACUGGGAAUCUCGAGUCCGGGGAGAGGUGAGUGGAACUGCGAGUGUAGAGGUGAAAUUCGUAGAUAUUCGCAAGAACACCAGUGGCGAAGGCGGCUCACUGGCCCGGUACUGGACGCUGAGGUGCGAAAGCGUGGGGAGCAAACAGGG
rnacentral:rRNA from 1 species